AUAAAGCUGUCUUAACUUCAUACAUAUACAGAGGUAAGGAGAAGAACUGCAUAAUCUUACAGCAAAUGCUAAGAUAGGCAGCCAUAUCUUUUUUACAUUGUCUAAGCCUUUAUGCUAUGCUUUUGAAGAACUGAGUAUUAUAACAAUAAGAAACAUAAUUUCAGAAUGUGACAAAUAACAGUCCAAGAUCUCAACUUGAACAAUGAUAGAAUGAAGGAUAAGCAGUUGAUAUACAGGAACUUGAACUACAGACA